rnacentral:rRNA from 1 species
UUAAGCGACUAAGCGUACACGGUGGAUGCCUAGGCAGUCAGAGGCGAUGAAGGGCGUGCUAAUCUGCGAAAAGCGUCGGUAAGGUGAUAUGAACCGUUAUAACCGACGAUACCCGAAUGGGGAAACCCAGUGCAAUUCGUUGCACUAUUGCAUGGUGAAUACAUAGCCAUGCAAGGCGAACCGGGGGAACUGAAACAUCUAAGUACCCCGAGGAAAAGAAAUCAACCGAGAUUCCCCCAGUAGCGGCGAGCGAACGGGGAGGAGCCCAGAACCUGAAUCAGCGUAUGUGUUAGUGGAAGCGUCUGGAAAGUCGCACGGUACAGGGUGAUAGUCCCGUACACAAAAAUGCAUAUGUUGUGAGUUCGAUGAGUAGGGCGGGACACGUGACAUCCUGUCUGAAUAUGGGGGGACCAUCCUCCAAGGCUAAAUACUCCUGACUGACCGAUAGUGAACCAGUACCGUGAGGGAAAGGCGAAAAGAACCCCGGCGAGGGGAGUGAAACAGAACCUGAAACCGUGUACGUACAAGCAGUGGGAGCACCUUCGUGGUGUGACUGCGUACCUUUUGUAUAAUGGGUCAGCGACUUAUAUUUUGUAGCAAGGUUAACCGAAUAGGGGAGCCGUAGGGAAACCGAGUCUUAACUGGGCGAAUAGUUGCAAGGUAUAGACCCGAAACCCGGUGAUCUAGCCAUGGGCAGGUUGAAGGUUGGGUAACACUAACUGGAGGACCGAACCGACUAAUGUUGAAAAAUUAGCGGAUGACUUGUGGCUGGGGGUGAAAGGCCAAUCAAACCGGGAGAUAGCUGGUUCUCCCCGAAAGCUAUUUAGGUAGCGCCUCGUGAACUCAUCUUCGGGGGUAGAGCACUGUUUCGGCUAGGGGGUCAUCCCGACUUACCAAACCGAUGCAAACUCCGAAUACCGAAGAAUGUUAUCACGGGAGACACACGGCGGGUGCUAACGUCCGUCGUGAAGAGGGAAACAACCCAGACCGCCAGCUAAGGUCCCAAAGUCAUGGUUAAGUGGGAAACGAUGUGGGAAGGCACAGACAGCCAGGAUGUUGGCUUAGAAGCAGCCAUCAUUUAAAGAAAGCGUAAUAGCUCACUGGUCGAGUCGGCCUGCGCGGAAGAUGUAACGGGGCUAAACCAUGCACCGAAGCUGCGGCAGCGAACGUAUCACUUAAAACGCUUAACGUGACGGCAAAGCCGGCAUGUUCAAGCCACACUAAACGUUGAGUUGGCCGAUGUGCUGACAAACGAACAGGCGUUUUAAGGAUACGUUCGUUGGGUAGGGGAGCGUUCUGUAAGCCGUUGAAGGUGGUCUGUGAGGGCUGCUGGAGGUAUCAGAAGUGCGAAUGCUGACAUAAGUAACGAUAAUGCGGGUGAAAAACCCGCACGCCGGAAGACCAAGGGUUCCUGUCCAACGUUAAUCGGGGCAGGGUGAGUCGACCCCUAAGGCGAGGCUGAAAAGCGUAGUCGAUGGGAAACAGGUUAAUAUUCCUGUACUUGGUGUUACUGCGAAGGGGGGACGGAGAAGGCUAGGCUAGCCGGGCGACGGUUGUCCCGGUUUAAGCAUGUAGGCGGAGUGACCAGGUAAAUCCGGUUGCUUAUCAACGCUGAGGUGUGAUGACGAGUCACUACGGUGAUGAAGUAGUUGAUGCCAUGCUUCCAGGAAAAGCCUCUAAGCAUCAGGUAACAUGAAAUCGUACCCCAAACCGACACAGGUGGUCAGGUAGAGAAUACUCAGGCGCUUGAGAGAACUCGGGUGAAGGAACUAGGCAAAAUGGUGCCGUAACUUCGGGAGAAGGCACGCUGGCAUUAGGUAAAGGGACUUGCUCCCGGCGCCGAAGCCAGUCGCAGAUACCAGCUGGCUGCAACUGUUUAAUAAAAACACAGCACUGUGCAAACACGAAAGUGGACGUAUACGGUGUGACGCCUGCCCGGUGCUGGAAGGUUAAUUGAUGGGGUCAGCCGCAAGGCGAAGCUCUUGAUCGAAGCCCCAGUAAACGGCGGCCGUAACUAUAACGGUCCUAAGGUAGCGAAAUUCCUUGUCGGGUAAGUUCCGACCUGCACGAAUGGCGUAAUGAUGGCCAGGCUGUCUCCACCCGAGACUCAGUGAAAUUGAACUCGCUGUGAAGAUGCAGUGUACCCGCGGCAAGACGGAAAGACCCCGUGAACCUUUACUAUAGCUUGACACUGAACAUUGAGCCUUGAUGUGUAGGAUAGGUGGGAGGCAUAGAAGUGUGGACGCCAGUCUGCAUGGAGCCAACCUUGAAAUACCACCCUUUAAUGUUUGAUGUUCUAACUCGGCCCCGUAAUCCGGGGUGAGGACAGUGUCUGGUGGGUAGUUUGACUGGGGCGGUCUCCUCCCAAAGAGUAACGGAGGAGCACGAAGGUUAGCUAAUCACGGUCGGACAUCGUGAGGUUAGUGCAAAGGCAUAAGCUAGCUUGACUGCGAGAGUGACGGCUCGAGCAGGUACGAAAGUAGGUCUUAGUGAUCCGGUGGUUCUGAAUGGAAGGGCCAUCGCUCAACGGAUAAAAGGUACUCCGGGGAUAACAGGCUGAUACCGCCCAAGAGUUCAUAUCGACGGCGGUGUUUGGCACCUCGAUGUCGGCUCAUCACAUCCUGGGGCUGAAGUAGGUCCCAAGGGUAUGGCUGUUCGCCAUUUAAAGUGGUACGCGAGCUGGGUUUAGAACGUCGUGAGACAGUUCGGUCCCUAUCUGCCGUGGGCGUUGGAAGAUUGAGAGGGGCUGCUCCUAGUACGAGAGGACCGGAGUGGACGAAUCACUGGUGUUCGGGUUGUCAUGCCAAUGGCAUUGCCCGGUAGCUAAAUUCGGAAGAGAUAACCGCUGAAAGCAUCUAAGCGGGAAACUUGCCUCGAGAUGAGUCUUCCCUGGGGCUUUAAGCCCCCUGAAGGAACGUUAAAGACGAUGACGUUGAUAGGCUGGGUGUGUAAGUGCAGCGAUGCAUUGAGCUAACCAGUACUAAUGAACCGUGAGGCUUAACCUU